GGUUAAGCGACUAAGCGUACACGGUGGAUGCCCUGGCAGUCAGAGGCGAUGAAGGACGUGCUAAUCUGCGAUAAGCGUCGGUAAGGUGAUAUGAACCGUUAUAACCGGCGAUUUCCGAAUGGGGAAACCCAGUGUGAUUCGUCACACUAUCAUUAACUGAAUCCAUAGGUUAAUGAGGCGAACCGGGGGAACUGAAACAUCUAAGUACCCCGAGGAAAAGAAAUCAACCGAGAUUCCCCCAGUAGCGGCGAGCGAACGGGGAGCAGCCCAGAGCCUGAAUCAGUGUGUGUGUUAGUGGAAGCGUCUGGAAAGGCGCGCGAUACAGGGUGACAGCCCCGUACACAAAAAUGCACAUGCUGUGAGCUCGAUGAGUAGGGCGGGACACGUGGUAUCCUGUCUGAAUAUGGGGGGACCAUCCUCCAAGGCUAAAUACUCCUGACUGACCGAUAGUGAACCAGUACCGUGAGGGAAAGGCGAAAAGAACCCCGGCGAGGGGAGUGAAAAAGAACCUGAAACCGUGUACGUACAAGCAGUGGGAGCACGCUUAGGCGUGUGACUGCGUACCUUUUGUAUAAUGGGUCAGCGACUUAUAUUCUGUAGCAAGGUUAACCGAAUAGGGGAGCCGAAGGGAAACCGAGUCUUAACUGGGCGUUAAGUUGCAGGGUAUAGACCCGAAACCCGGUGAUCUAGCCAUGGGCAGGUUGAAGGUUGGGUAACACUAACUGGAGGACCGAACCGACUAAUGUUGAAAAAUUAGCGGAUGACUUGUGGCUGGGGGUGAAAGGCCAAUCAAACCGGGAGAUAGCUGGUUCUCCCCGAAAGCUAUUUAGGUAGCGCCUCGUGAAUUCAUCUCCGGGGGUAGAGCACUGUUUCGGCAAGGGGGUCAUCCCGACUUACCAACCCGAUGCAAACUGCGAAUACCGGAGAAUGUUAUCACGGGAGACACACGGCGGGUGCUAACGUCCGUCGUGAAGAGGGAAACAACCCAGACCGCCAGCUAAGGUCCCAAAGUCAUGGUUAAGUGGGAAACGAUGUGGGAAGGCCCAGACAGCCAGGAUGUUGGCUUAGAAGCAGCCAUCAUUUAAAGAAAGCGUAAUAGCUCACUGGUCGAGUCGGCCUGCGCGGAAGAUGUAACGGGGCUAAACCAUGCACCGAAGCUGCGGCAGCGACGCUUAUGCGUUGUUGGGUAGGGGAGCGUUCUGUAAGCCUGUGAAGGUGUGCUGUGAGGCAUGCUGGAGGUAUCAGAAGUGCGAAUGCUGACAUAAGUAACGAUAAAGCGGGUGAAAAGCCCGCUCGCCGGAAGACCAAGGGUUCCUGUCCAACGUUAAUCGGGGCAGGGUGAGUCGACCCCUAAGGCGAGGCCGAAAGGCGUAGUCGAUGGGAAACAGGUUAAUAUUCCUGUACUUGGUGUUACUGCGAAGGGGGGACGGAGAAGGCUAUGUUGGCCGGGCGACGGUUGUCCCGGUUUAAGCGUGUAGGCUGGUUUUCCAGGCAAAUCCGGAAAAUCAAGGCUGAGGCGUGAUGACGAGGCACUACGGUGCUGAAGCAACAAAUGCCCUGCUUCCAGGAAAAGCCUCUAAGCAUCAGGUAACAUCAAAUCGUACCCCAAACCGACACAGGUGGUCAGGUAGAGAAUACCAAGGCGCUUGAGAGAACUCGGGUGAAGGAACUAGGCAAAAUGGUGCCGUAACUUCGGGAGAAGGCACGCUGAUAUGUAGGUGAAGUCCCUCGCGGAUGGAGCUGAAAUCAGUCGAAGAUACCAGCUGGCUGCAACUGUUUAUUAAAAACACAGCACUGUGCAAACACGAAAGUGGACGUAUACGGUGUGACGCCUGCCCGGUGCCGGAAGGUUAAUUGAUGGGGUCAGCGCAAGCGAAGCUCUUGAUCGAAGCCCCGGUAAACGGCGGCCGUAACUAUAACGGUCCUAAGGUAGCGAAAUUCCUUGUCGGGUAAGUUCCGACCUGCACGAAUGGCGUAAUGAUGGCCAGGCUGUCUCCACCCGAGACUCAGUGAAAUUGAACUCGCUGUGAAGAUGCAGUGUACCCGCGGCAAGACGGAAAGACCCCGUGAACCUUUACUAUAGCUUGACACUGAACAUUGAGCCUUGAUGUGUAGGAUAGGUGGGAGGCUUAGAAGUGUGGACGCCAGUCUGCAUGGAGCCGACCUUGAAAUACCACCCUUUAAUGUUUGAUGUUCUAACGUUGACCCGUAAUCCGGGUUGCGGACAGUGUCUGGUGGGUAGUUUGACUGGGGCGGUCUCCUCCUAAAGAGUAACGGAGGAGCACGAAGGUUGGCUAAUCCUGGUCGGACAUCAGGAGGUUAGUGCAAUGGCAUAAGCCAGCUUGACUGCGAGCGUGACGGCGCGAGCAGGUGCGAAAGCAGGUCAUAGUGAUCCGGUGGUUCUGAAUGGAAGGGCCAUCGCUCAACGGAUAAAAGGUACUCCGGGGAUAACAGGCUGAUACCGCCCAAGAGUUCAUAUCGACGGCGGUGUUUGGCACCUCGAUGUCGGCUCAUCACAUCCUGGGGCUGAAGUAGGUCCCAAGGGUAUGGCUGUUCGCCAUUUAAAGUGGUACGCGAGCUGGGUUUAGAACGUCGUGAGACAGUUCGGUCCCUAUCUGCCGUGGGCGCUGGAGAACUGAGGGGGGCUGCUCCUAGUACGAGAGGACCGGAAGGAGUGGACGCAUCACUGGUGUUCGGGUUGUCAUGCCAAUGGCACUGCCCGGUAGCUAAAUGCGGAAGAGAUAAGUGCUGAAAGCAUCUAAGCACGAAACUUGCCCCGAGAUGAGUUCUCCCUGACUCCUUGAGAGUCCUGAAGGAACGUUGAAGACGACGACGUUGAUAGGCCGGGUGUGUAAGCGCAGCGAUGCGUUGAGCUAACCGGUACUAAUGAACCGUGAGGCUUAACCUU
rnacentral:rRNA from 1 species